CUCAAAUGAAUUGACGGGGGCCCGCACAAGCAGUGGAGUAUGUGGUUUAAUUCGAAGCAACGCGAAGAACCUUACCAGGUCUUGACAUCCAACGACCGCCUAAGAGAUUAGGCUUUCCUUCGGGACGUUGAGACAGGUGGUGCAUGGUUGUCGUCAGCUCGUGUCGUGAGAUGUUGGGUUAAGUCCCGCAACGAGCGCAACCCUUAUUACUAGUUACUACGCAAGAGGACUCUAGUGAGACUGCCGUUGACAAAACGGAGGAAGGUGGGGAUGACGUCAAAUCAUCAUGCCCUUUAUGACCUGGGCUACACACGUACUACAAUGGCUAUUAACAGAGAGAAGCAAGACCGCAAGGUGGAGCGAACCUCAGAAAAAUAGUCUCAGUUCGGAUUGGGGGCUGCAACCCGCCCCCAUGAAGCCGGAAUUGCUAGUAAUCGCGGAUCAGCAUGCCGCGGUGAAUACGUUCCCGGGCCUUGUACACACCGCCCGUCACACCAUGAGAGCCGGGGGGACCCGAAGUCGGUAGUCUAACCGCAAGGAGGACGCCGCCGAAGGUAAAACUGG
rnacentral:rRNA from 1 species